GAUGAACGCUGGCGGCGUGCCUAAUACAUGCAAGUCGAGCGAACAGACGAGGAGCUUGCUCCUCUGACGUUAGCGGCGGACGGGUGAGUAACACGUGGAUAACCUACCUAUAAGACUGGGAUAACUUCGGGAAACCGGAGCUAAUACCGGAUAAUAUAUUGAACCGCAUGGUUCAAUAGUGAAAGACGGUUUUGCUGUCACUUAUAGAUGGAUCCGCGCCGCAUUAGCUAGUUGGUAAGGUAACGGCUUACCAAGGCAACGAUGCGUAGCCGACCUGUGAGAGUGAUCGGCCACACUGGAACUGAGACACGGUCCAGACUCCUACGGGAGGCAGCAGUAGGGAAUCUUCCGCAAUGGGCGAAAGCCUGACGGAGCAACGCCGCGUGAGUGAUGAAGGUCUUCGGAUCGUAAAACUCUGUUAUUAGGGAAGAACAAAUGUGUAAGUAACUAUGCACGUCUUGACGGUACCUAAUCAGAAAGCCACGGCUAACUACGUG
rnacentral:rRNA from 1 species